GCCAUCCUACUACUUCCCGGAUCUCGUCUCCGCCCCCAAGAUCUUCACCUUCCGAUGACGACGACGACCAGGAGAUCAUGCUCCUCUUUGUCCAAGGUUAUCCUCUCCUCUUCCUCUUCCACCCACCAUUUUUUCCUUCCCUGCUACACGCACUAAUGAGCGCCUGUAUAGAUCCAAGAGCCUCCUCUCCUGUUUGAGUUUUGUAUCACAAGAACCAAUACCGAAGAACACCCAUCGUUUGCAGUAGUGUUUCUACCUAACUAUCCUGACCUCACAAGUGAGCACAACCACAUCUACCUCCUUGUGAUGCUAAUAUACACACAAUGUUCUACUACCUCCGUCUAGGUGAAUAAGUCAUUCGCGUAGUUCUAGGUCAUCGAUUUGAGGAAUUAAAUAUGUGUUAUAUGUCAUGAAAAGUAUAUCACUAGAUUUCUACACGAAUGUAGUUUCUAAAUAUAUAUUUUUGUCACAUAUAAUACAUAUUUAGAUAGUUAAAUCGUUGACCUAGAACUACGCGAAUGACUUAUUCACCGAGACGGAGGUAGUAGUAUAUUUCUAAAGGGGACUACUCUGCCUGUACUAGCUUUGUCCUAAUUUUAACUUAGAAUCUUUAGGAUAACCUGAAGUAUGCUUGUCUUGCUUAUACUAACGGCGUAGCAUAAACGUACCAGUUAUUGGAAUUCAAUUGCGUUGAUGAAAGUAGCAUUAGUAUCAUGGUAACUGUUCAGUUUAAAAUUACUCUCAUUCAAGUUCUUCCCUUUUGUACCAAGAUAUGGAACCAAGGUUUGAGCAUAUGUAAUCUUGAUAAUUGGCCUUCGGUUUAAACUCUAUGGACCCAAGGGGACAUUCACUCCAUUAUCUCUGUCCAUUUUACACUUUUUGCGUAUGCCAUGGAGUUGAUCUAUUGUUGUCUUAACUUCAAGCUUUAUUUGUAAAAAGUAUGUUAGUGGCAAACUAAUUAAAAGAUGAAACCAUGUGCUAUUAAGAUUUUGAGUUUUCCUGCAGAUUAUUCAAAGAGAGAACAACAUCUUAUUAUGUUUGGAUCUGUUUGUUUGCGAAAGAUGCAUAUAAAUAAGAAUAUGUGCUUAUAUAUAUUUUGACUUCUGAAUUGAUAUUAUCUUUUUGUAAAGAAUUUUGACUUAUGAUGUGAUUGCAGCAAAGCCAAUUGAUAGUAUUAUCGAUGCAGUGCUGUUAAGUCAUCAAUUACUAAUUUACCAUUAGAAAAUGGCCUUUACUGAUUGAAGGAAAAAAUUGCUACCAAGGAGAAAACAUAAGGUAUGUAAUUUUGAAGUACCAAUUUAGAGGUGCAGUUUUGUGUUUACUUCCAUUGGGCAUUUUACAAUUUGUUCAUGAAUUUGCACAUGCUAACUCAUAAGCAGAGGAAUAUCUUGUGGAGAAAACAGAGGGUGUAUACAAAUGAGUUCAUGCUCUUGUCAGUUUUUCGUUGGGGAAUUAUCUUGUGUUUUUGUGUGAAUGCAUCUCUACAGCUUUAGCUCCUUAUGUCCACCAUGUCGGCGCUGGCGGCAUUGAACAUGUCGACGAUGGGGGCAGUGCCAUCCUUGACGAUUCAGUUUAGGAUCCCCCACUUGGCGGCGUCCUUGGUGCUGUAGCUCUCUUUCGGGUUCAGCCCGCAGCCGAUGGAGACGACCAUGAACUUGCCGUAUGUUGGAAUAAACCCAAGUCUGCACCUAGUAUAUUUCUCUGCCAUGGUAGGCCCUUCUGUUUUGCUGCCAUGCAGUGUUUUUAGCUAGUGUCUAGUUUUCAGUUUCAGUCUUUCUUGAGUCAAUCUGUUAGCGAGUUUAGCUAGAGUAGUUAGUCGCCAGGAGUGAUUCUGGCGUCCACUCUGAUCGCUUGUGGGAUGGAAUUUUUCUCAGUUGUAGCUCAUUUUUCAUUAGCUGAUACCUUCAGUUAUCGUAUACCGAUGUCUUUCUCUGAGCCCGUUUUUCAGUUGCAGCUCUGAAUAAAUUCAGUGAAUUUAGUUUCAUGAUGAGAUUAUACAAAGCGAAGCAGUUGGUCAGUAGUAAUCCUUUAAACAUUAUACAAUAUCGAGGAGAAAAGCUCUGACGAGCUUGUCAUUCAGUGCCGUCUGGUGCAUAUUAUUCUGAACAUUAUACAAUAUUACAGUUGGAAUAGUGUUUAUACAAUCAAAAAGCUCUGAAGGCUAUUUUCAAACUAGUUUCAGUCUAACAUUCGUUUCUUGCGAAAUGAUGGCUUUCAUGCCGUGGUCAUCUAGGAAUUAAAGAGAACAAUAUUAUACAUAUAAGAACACAAAUAGGUGUGUGCUUAUUAUGUUUGCAUCUAUUUCAUUGGGAACAUGGAUAUAAAUAAAUAUAUGUGCUUAUAUAUAGUUUAAAAUUUAUAUUGUAUAGUGACUACGUUGUUGUUUUUUGCUUUGCAGGUUCCUAAAGCUAGCCAAUGAAAAUGUUCAAAGAAGUUGAUCUUGGAAGUUUCAGUAGUGACUAUCCCAGCAGCAACACAUUUUGGCAUGGAUGAUUUACACAGAUACAUGUUGAUAAUGGAACCAAAUGAUUAUUCUUGCUGGAUUUCUACCUUAGUUAACAUUUCUGCUGUUAAACCAUGAUUAGCACACUAAAUUUAUUCGCAGUGCCGCUAUUUGUGCAACUGAACAUGUAUAACUUAUGGUCAGCGUGUUGAUGUGCAUUGAAGUGUUUUUUUUACUGAUUAUGCUUGUUUCGUGUUUUUCUGUUUUUUACUUGUCAUUCCUGAAGUUUGCAAUGAAAUU
rnacentral:lncRNA from 1 species